rnacentral:lncRNA from 1 species
CUAAAUCUAGUAAUGCCUUAUCCACAAAAGUUUCUCCUAUGACACAUGAAAUUGUAGGACAACCGGGGUCCUUGUAUUUCACGGGAAUUUGGUUUGAGAGAAUCGAACUAAUGUGAGAUGUAAGGAACGCUUUCUUAGGGACAUGGUUGGUUCUUUUAUGGGUACAUAACUCCUUAAGACACUUAGCAUAUGAAGGAAUUUGUUGAAUUGCAUCUAAAAGGGGUAUGUUGACCUUGACUUGCUUAAACACUUCCAAAAUCUUCUCCAUUUGAGCCGAUUGCUUAGGUGAAAUAAGUCUUUGUGGGUAAGGGACUCU